rnacentral:rRNA from 1 species
UGCGCAGGUGGCCGGGUAAGUCUGAUGUGAAAUCCCGCAGCUUAACUGCGGAAUGGCAUUGGAUACUAUUCGGCUAGAGGGUUGGAGGGGGGACUGGAAUUCUCGGUGUAGCAGUGAAAUGCGUAGAUAUCGAGAGGAACACCAGUGGCGAAGGCGAGUCCCUGGACAACUCCUGACACUGAGGCAAGACUAGGGGAGCGAAACA